AAAAUGCAUCACUCUUAGAAUAAAACAUUUCUAUUUCUCAAAUUUCAGGGUGACAAGGGGAACACUGCACAGUCUGGGCAGAAAGGACUGAAAGGGGUUGAGGGUGAAAGAGGGAAUCCAGGGCCACAGGGUCCAAAAGGGCCAUCAGGGAAACAGGGAUACAAGGGAGCUUCAGGAGAGAGAGGAAAACAAGGACUUCCAGGCCUGAAGGGAGAAUCAGGUAUUAGAGGUUUAUCAGGCAUGCCUGGACGUUUUGGACCUGGAGGCAACACAGGCGCAGCCGGAGCCAAAGGCCAGAAGGGGCUCCAGGGACACACAGGCCCCCCAGGGAGUAUUGGUCCUGCUGGACAAAUUGGGCCAUCACCGACUGUAUGUUUUAUUUAAACAUACUACAUUCUAUCCAAAAGAACAUUUACAUAAAAUGUGUCAACAGGUUACAUAUAUGUUUUUUCCUGUGUGAAAGGGCAGCUGUUCAUCUCUUGUUUAACAUUAGCUCACUGUCAUAUAGUUGAGGGAGACACUGUGCAUACACCUCAUCCCAUAUUUCUCAUACACAUACCAUACCACAUAACAUUGCCUCAUCGAGACAAUGUUAAUGCAAUGCGACAUUUCUUCAGGGUUUACCAGGACAUAGAGGUGAUGAGGGCAAACCUGGAAUCCCUGGAGCAAAGGUUUAAUGUGCCAUUCAUUCCUUUUUAAGUCAAUUACCAUACAUGCUGUUCAUCUGGUGUUUAACUGAUGUGUGCAUCUGUCAUUCAGGGCAGUCAUGGUGAGGGGGGGAUCCUCGGUCUUCCUGGUGUUAAAGGCAACAUGGUG
rnacentral:lncRNA from 1 species